GUCUACGGCCAUGCUGCCCCUGAACAAGCCCGAUCCCGUCUGAUCUCGGAAGCUAAGCAGGGUCGGGCCUGGUUAGUACUUGGAUGGGAGACCACCUAGGAAGACCAGGUGCUGUAGGCG
rnacentral:rRNA from 1 species